UCUUUUGAAUUGUUGAAUCCCCGGACUCUUAUCUGGGUUUUAUGAUUUAUAUUCUUGAAUAGGAAGAUCUGAUGC
rnacentral:snoRNA from 1 species